rnacentral:rRNA from 1 species
GGGAGGAAAAGCUGGCGGGAGCCUACAAUGCAAGUCGAGGGGUAACGGAAGUAGCUUGCUGCUAGACGAUUACCGGCGCACGGGUGAGUAACGCGUAUGUAAUCUGCCUUGUACAGAGGGAUAGCCCAGAGAAAUUUGGAUUAAUACCUCAUAGUAUUACUGAAUCGCAUGAUUUGGUAAUUAAAGCUCCGGCGGUACAAGAUGAACAUGCGUGACAUUAGCUAGUUGGUAAGGUAACGGCUUACCAAGGCUACGAUGUCUAGGGGUUCUGAGAGGAUGAUCCCCCACACUGGUACUGAGACACGGACCAGACUCCUACGGGAGGCAGCAGUGAGGAAUAUUGGUCAAUGGACGCAAGUCUGAACCAGCCAUCCCGCGUGGAGGAUGACUGCCCUAUGGGUUGUAAACUUCUUUUAUAUGCAAAUAAACCUACUUUCGUGAAAGUAGCUGAAGGUAGCAUAUGAAUAAACACCGGCUAACUCCGUGCCAGCAGCCGCGGUAAUACGGAGGGUGUAAGCGUUAUCCGGAUUUACUGGGUUUAAAGGGUACGUAGGCGGUAAUAUAAGUCAGUGGUGAAAUCCUGCAGCUCAACUGUAGAACUGCCAUUGAAACUGUAUUACUUGAGUAUACUUGAGGUCGGCGGGAUGAGUAGUGUAGCGGUGAAAUGCUUAGAUAUUACUCAGAACACCGAUUGCGAAGGCCGCUUACAAGGUAUAACUGACGCUGAUGUACGAAAAGCGUGCGGAGCGAACAGGAUUAGAUACCCUGGUAGUCCACGCCGUAACGAUGAUUACUCCCCUGUUGGCGAUACCAGUCAGUGGCUAAACGAAAGUUUUAAUAAUCCACCUGGGGAGUACGCUCGC